CCAAGGAGUCUAACAUGUGCGCGAGUCGCUCGGUCUUGUACAGGCCCGGGAGGCGCAAUGAAAGUAAAGCUACGAGGCUGUAACAGGUCGCAGUAGCAGCCCGCCUGCUUUCUCUAUCGGGAAUAUGGCGGAGCCGGAGCGUGUACGGUGGUACCCGAAAGAUGGUGAACUAUGCCUGGGCAAGACGAAGUCAGAGGAAACUCUGAUGGAGGUCUGUAGCGAUUCUGACGUGCAAAUCGAUCGUCAGACCUGGGUAUAGGGGCGAAAGACUAAUCGAACCAUC
rnacentral:rRNA from 1 species